CUGAAACAACUAAUCGAUUUAAUCGAUUAUAAUCGAUUAUUAAAAUAGUUAACAACUUUUUUAGUCAUCGAUUAGUUGUUUAAUAAUCAUAUUUUACCGCAUAAAGUCUAUUUUUUACCACAAUCUGACAUCGGUUACAAUCUGUUAAAUUUGCCACCAGUGUGUGGCAGUAAUGAGCCACUGAUCUACCAGUGGGGCCGUAGAAGAAGAAAUUAGCCAAUAAGUGCCCUCGGUUUUCAUGACGUAUCACGUUACUGACGCGCAUCUUGCUGUGAGAGAUGGCGGAUCAACAACAAAUACGGAAGAAAAAUAGAAGCGACAAAACAAGAGAAACCCCGGACAAAAACCUCACGAGUAUGGGAGCACUUCACUCUAGAUGCCUUGAAAAGACGGGUGACCUGCAAAAUAUGCAAAAACCAUCUAGCAUGGCACGACGGAAGCACGACGUCCCUAAGUGAACAUUUGAGAUGAAAACAUGGGGGCUGAUGCAGCAGAGGAAAGUCCGAAAAAAACAAGCAACGAUGGACAACUACAUGGGGAACAAGACACUCACCCCCAGCAAUGCAUACCACUUACAAACUCUAUUCUAGAUUCUACAUUAUUUUUUAUGGAAUUUACCUCUUAUAUUUUGAUGCCAAAAAAUUAUUCUGGACUGAUAUUUUGCACUGUUUAGCUCAUUUUACACUGCUGACUGUGGUCAUGUGCAAUAAAAUAGAUUGCAGUCAACUGCACAAUUC